UACGGAGGAUGCAAGCGUUAUCCGGAUUCAUUGGGUUUAAAGGGUGCGUAGGCGGACUAUUAAGUCAGUGGUGAAAGCCUGCGGCUUAACUGCAGAACUGCCAUUGAUACUGAUAGUCUUGAGUUUGGUUAAGGUAGGCGGAAUGUGUAAUGUAGCGGUGAAAUGCUUAGAUAUUACGCAGAACACCAAUUGCGUAGGCAGCUUACUGAGCCGACACUGACGCUGAGGCACGAAAGCGUGGGGAUCGAACAGGA
rnacentral:rRNA from 1 species